UUACGGUCAUAUCAGGUUGAAACACCGGUUCCCGUACGAUAACCGAAGUUAAGCAACAUUGAGCCUGGUCAGUAUCUAGAUGGGUGACCGCUUGGGAAUACCAGGUGUUAUA
rnacentral:rRNA from 1 species